UGUCAUCCCCGGGGGAGCGCUACCGGGUUCCCAUCAAAGUGAUACUUUGAUGGGGUCCCUAUCGGCGCUUGAGAGGCGGCCACGAGGCCGCGACCCGCUGAACCUGAUCCGGUUGACACCGGCGGAGGGAGGGAGCGGUCUACACCC
rnacentral:ncRNA from 1 species